GUGGUGUGUCGCGUCGUCUGUGUAAUCCAGGGGCUUAACUUUUGGUUGGCAGGCGAUACGGGCAUUGCUUGAGUGCUGUAGGGGAGACUGGAAUUCCUGGUGUAGCGGUGAAAUGCGCAGAUAUCAGGAGGAACACCGAUGGCGAAGGCAGGUCUCUGGGCAGUUACUGACGCUGAGGAGCGAGAGCAUGGGUAGCGAACAGGAUUAGAUACCCUGGUAGUCUAUGCUGUAAACGGUGGGCGCUAGGUGUGAGUCCCUUCCACGGGGUUUGUGCCGUAGCUAACGCUUUAAGCGCCCCGCCUGGGGAGUACGGCCGCAAGGCUAAAACUCAAAGGAAUUGACGGGGGCCCGCACAAGCGGCGGAGCAUGUGGAUUAAUUCGAUGCAACGCGAAGAACCUUACCUGGGCUUGACAUAUGUGAGAUUGGGCUAGAGAUAGUUCGUCCCUUGUGGCUCAUGUACAGGUGGUGCAUGGUUGUCGUCAGCUCGUGUCGUGAGAUGUUGGGUUAAGUCCCGCAACGAGCGCAACCCUUGUCUUAUGUUGCCAGCACGUUGUGGUGGGGACUCGUGAGAGACUGCCGGGGUUAACUCGGAGGAAGGUGGGGAUGACGUCAAAUCAUCAUGCCCCUUAUGUCCAGGGCUUCACACAUGCUACAAUGGCUGGUACAGUGCGUGUGCGACACCGUGAGGUGGAGCUAAUCGCGAAAGCCAGUCUCAGUUCGGAUUGGGGUCUGCAACUCGACCUCAUGAAGUCGGAGUCG
rnacentral:rRNA from 1 species